AUACCAUGAUGAGCACAAUUACAGAUCAACUGAUUGAACCGCUUCCAUGAGUCAUAUAACAACUCACCUGGAAGUUGUUGAAAUUCCCUAAGCGCAUCUCUGCCCAU
rnacentral:snoRNA from 1 species